UACAGAGGUCUCAAGCGUUGUUCGGAUUCAUUGGGCGUAAAGGGCGCGUAGGCGGCGGGGUCAGUCGGGUGUGAAAUCUUGGGGCUUAACCCCGAAACGGCACUCGAAACUGCCCGGCUGGAGGGCCGGAGAGGAGAUCGGAAUUCACGGUGUAGCAGUGAAAUGCGUAGAGAUCGUGAGGAAGACCCGUGGCGAAGGCGGAUCUCUGGACAAUUGCUGACGCUCAGGCACGAAAGCGUGGGGAGCAAAAGGG
rnacentral:rRNA from 1 species